CGUAACAAGGUUUCCGUAGGGUGAACCUGCGGAAGGAUCAUUACCUAGAGUUUGUGGGCUUUGCCUGCUAUCUCUUACCCAUGUCUUUUGAGUACUUACGUUUCCUCGGUGGGUUCGCCCGCCGAUUGGACAAUUUAAACCCUUUGCAGUUGCAAUCAGCGUCUGAAAAACAUAAUAGUUACAACUUUCAACAACGGAUCUCUUGGUUCUGGCAUCGAUGAAGAACGCAGCGAAAUGCGAUAAGUAGUGUGAAUUGCAGAAUUCAGUGAAUCAUCGAAUCUUUGAACGCACAUUGCGCCCCUUGGUAUUCCAUGGGGCAUGCCUGUUCGAGCGUCAUUUGUACCUUCAAGCAUUGCUUGGUGUUGGGUGUUUGUCUCGCCUUUGCGUGUAGACUCGCCUUAAAACAAUUGGCAGCCGGCGUAUUGAUUUCGGAGCGCAGUACAUCUCGCGCUUUGCACUCAUAACGACGACGUCCAAAAGUACAUUUUAACACUCUUGACCUCGGAUCAGGUAGGGAUACCCGCUGAACUUAAGCAUAUCAAUAA
rnacentral:misc_RNA from 1 species